GUCACCGCGCACGCUGCGCGCGCGGCCCCGCGCCGCCGCCGCCCGGUGUGCGCGCCCCGCCCCCGCGCCCGGCGCGAACGAGCUCUGGAGAGACAGUGGCUGCGAGAAUAUUGAAAUUUGUGAAUAUCUUCUGGCUCCUAAUUUUGCACCCCUGGCAAUUAUGCAGAAGAUGAUCAGAAAUGGAAAAAGAGCAGGAGGGUACCCAGGGCUUUGUGAAUAGGUAUUAACAACUGGUUUGUUGUUAC